UUGACCACGUUAACGGUCGUUAAGAACUCCAAACAAUUAAAAGUGAAUAUUAUACAAAAAAAACUUAAAUUAUAAUUUUUUGAAUUUUAAAAAACGGUUAUUUUUUUGAGCAACGUUAAGUGAGUGUAGAAAAGUGAAGUUAAUUCAAUUUAAUAAAUUUUUGGUGGUUUUAAAAUUUUGCCUAAACUUUGGUCAGUAGAAACGUGAUUGUAUACAAAAUUAAAUUGUGUAAUUUUUUUUUGGGGGGAAAGGACAAAAAGACAGGAGUAAAAAGACAUCCAAUACAAUUGAGAUAAAAUACAGUAUAUUCUAAUUUGAAAAACAACAAGUGUUUCUGAACAAUAAAAGACCGACAAAUAGUAAAAAUAGCUCCAGUGUCUGAGUGUUUGUAAAAAGGACAUUAUUGAACAACUGCACGUAUUUCCAGUGAUUGAAGUGUUAAUUUAAUUUAUUUUACUUUCUAACCAUAUUUUAUCUUGUGCUUUAAGACCGUAAAGAAGAUUUAAUCAAACUGCAACAGAAGUCGUCACAUUAAUAGCAAGAAUAUUUUAUGAUCAUAUUUUAUGUAUUAAUGUACUAAUUUGUUACUUUUUGUAAGGAUUAAAACAAAAACCAACAACAACAACAAAAAGGAAAACAACAUAGCCAUUUUUGCCACUUGUUCAUCCAUUGGCCUUCUUUUUAAUCUGUCGUCAGAAGUUAAUUAAAUUUUAUUAACCCAAAACGUAAAAAUAACUAAAACGGCAACAAAAACUUAACUUGAACACAAGUUGUCUCUAUUAAGAUUUAUUCACUUAUUUAUAAGAAAUCUGUCAACAUCUUCUACAGCAUAUUUUUUUUAAUAAAUAAUUCCAUCAUCGUCAACACCAGCAUCAAGUGUUAAAUUUUGUGAACAAAAAAAAAAAGUACGAAAAAGAGAGCAAAAACAUUAAAACAUCUCAAUUCCAGCAUUCAAACCCAUU